rnacentral:tRNA from 1 species
CGCGGGGUAGAGCAGUGGCAGCUCAGCGGCCCCAUAAGCCGUUCACGUGGGUUCGAAUCCCACCCCCGCUACCA